AUUGAAUAGUCGCGUAUGGCAAAACCGAAAGGUUGCGUAUGAGGAAAGUCCGGGCUCCAUAAGAGCAAUGAUGCUGGAUAACAUCCAGUGAAGGUAACUUCAAGGAAAGUGCAACAGAAAAUAACCGCCUUUUUUAGGUAAGGGUGAAAAGGUAAGGUAAGAGCUUACCGCAGAUAUGGUGACAUAUCUGGUCAGUGUAAACCCCAUCUGGAGCAACACCUUGUAAUUCCAAGAAGGUUAAGAUGCUCUUUCGUCUUCUUGGUUCUGGUGGCUUAAGUCUUAUAGUAAUAUAAGGAAUAGAUAAAUGACUAUUCACGACAGAACCCGGCUUAUAGAUUUACUUU
rnacentral:RNase_P_RNA from 1 species